rnacentral:rRNA from 1 species
AGUGAACGCUGGCGGUAGGCCUAACACAUGCAAGUCGAACGGCAGCACAGUAAGAGCUUGCUCUUACGGGUGGCGAGUGGCGGACGGGUGAGGAAUACAUCGGAAUCUACUUUUUCGUGGGGGAUAACGUAGGGAAGCUUACGCUAAUACCGCAUACGACCUACGGGUGAAAGCAGGGGAUCUUCGGACCUUGCGCGAUUGAAUGAGCCGAUGUCGGAUUAGCUAGUUGGCGGGGUAAAGGCCCACCAAGGCGACGAUCCGUAGCUGGUCUGAGAGGAUGAUCAGCCACACUGGAACAGAGACACGGUCCAGACUCCUACGGGAGGCAGCAGUGGGGAAUAUUGGACAAUGGGCGCAAGCCUGAUCCAGCCAUACCGCGUGGGUGAAGAAGGCCUUCGGGUUGUAAAGCCCUUUUGUUGGGAAAGAAAAGCAGCAGGUUAAUACCCCGCUGUUCUGACGGUACCCAAAGAAUAAGCACCGGCUAACUUCGUG